CCCAGGGUAGCCAGUCCACAAGAAAUGCUGCUGCCAAGGCAUAAGAAAACACCCUCUCUGCCAGUGCCAAGACUGUGCAACCACCAAGGAAAAAGCCGACUCCAGAGGAGCUAGCUGCAGUGACCAUCCAGUGGGCCACUCAAGGCCUGCUGACCAGUCUUUUAUGGCACUACUACAAAGAGAACAGGAAUAGGCAGAGCAUGAAAGGAAGGAGGAGGACAAGAGGAAGAAGGAGGACAAGAGGAAGAAGGAAGAGCAAUUUCUACGAACACGACUUCUGGAAGCAGCGUUUGAUGGAGAGGCCGAGGAAGUGUUAGCAAUUCCAAAGGUGGUGUGACUGAUAUCUGUAAGAUCUGUGGGGACGUGUAAUGAAGACAUG